rnacentral:rRNA from 1 species
GACGAACGCUGGCGGCGUGCUUAACACAUGCAAGUUGAACGGUAAGGCCCUUCGGGGUACACGAGUGGCGAACGGGUGAGUAACACGUGGGUGAUCUGCCCUGCACUUCGGGAUAAGCCUGGGAAACUGGGUCUAAUACCGGAUAGGACUCCGGACUGCAUGGUCUGGGGUGGAAAGCUUUUGCGGUGUGGGAUGGGCCCGCGGCCUAUCAGCUUGUUGGUGGGGUGACGGCCUACCAAGGCGACGACGGGUAGCCGGCCUGAGAGGGUGACCGGCCACACUGGGACUGAGAUACGGCCCAGACUCAUACGGGAGGCAGCAGUGGGGAAUAUUGCACAAUGGGCGCAAGCCUGAUGCAGCGACGCCGCGUGAGGGAUGACGGCCUUCGGGUUGUAAACCUCUUUCAGCAUCGACGAAGCGAAAGUGACGGUAGGUGCAGAAGAAGGACCGGCCAACUACGUGCCAGCCGCCGCAGUAA